CUUACUGUCAAUGACUGUACUAUUCACUGUCUUCAACAAAAGUCAGCUAUUCCAGGAAACUCUCGUCCAGAAAGAUAAAAAUUGAGAAUGAGACAUCAAUCAAUAUGCGGAAGAUUUACAUGGUUCGGUCUGGAAGGGUGGGACAAUUCGAAGGGUGAGGAGAGAAGAGGAGCUUCCGGGUCAUAGGUAGGUUUAAACAUAUUCUGAUUGGGAAUUGGUUGAAAGAGUUACGAAAGGAAUGUCUGGGUUACCAGGAGGGGUUGUAGAGACCACGGUUUUAUCAUGAAGAUGAAGCCUCCAGGUAGCAGGCUUUAAAGAAAAAUAGAUUGUAAGUAUUUCUUAUCAGACUUAAGGUCUGUGUUAAUGUUAAUGAGGCAUGUCCAACCCUCACUUCCCGUCACGGCCUGAGCCAGUCUUUCAGGUUAAAUUUUACAUGCCCUGGCCAAAGAGUUAGUCCAUUCAGAUCGUUGCCAGGGGCCUUCAAAUUCUAUUUUUGGUUUACCGCAGGGGUCUCCUACCCCUGCAAUAACUUUACCUAAAGGUAUCCUGUUAGGAACCAGGCUGCAUAGCGGGAGGUGGGAAGCAGGCAAGUGAGCAUUACUGACUGAACUCCGCCUCCUGUCAGAUCAGCAGCAGCUUUAGAUUCUCAUAGCAGUGCGAACCCUAUUGUGAACUGUGCAUGUGAGGGAUCUAGGUUGUGUGCUCCUUAUGAGAAUCUAAUGUCUGAUGAUCUGAAGUGGAACAGUUUCAUCCCCAAACUAUCCCCACCUGACCACCCCAUCCGGAGAAAAAUUGUCCCAUGGAAGCUGUCCCUGGUGCCAAAAAAGGUUGGGGACCAGCAGUUCACAGUAGCCAUCUCCCUAUGGCGGUGAGCAAUAAACUCAACUUUGCCUUAUGAAAAGGUUCUUUCACUGGUGUUUGAGAGAAGCCGGCAUUUGACAAUAUAUGUCAACCUAAACAAACAAAAGUAUUUUAGGGCUUUGCUACUCAGAGUGUGGGGUUGGUUUAAAAUGCAGGGUCUCAGGCCCCACCUCAGUCCCGUAGAAUCAGAAUCCGCAUUUUCACAAGAUGCCCAGGUGACUGUGUGCACAUUGCAGGCUGUGGUCUUGGGCAUUAUUCUUCUAAAGAAUGAGUGCAGGCUGGGCGCGGCGGCUCUUGCCUGUAAUCCCAGCACUUUGGGAGGCCGAGGUGGGUGAAUCACAAGGUCAGGAGUUCGAGACCAGCCUGGUCAACAUUUUUAAUAGAAACCCCUUUUCUAUUAAAAAUACAAAAAAUUAGCUUGGCGUAGUGGUGAGCGC
rnacentral:lncRNA from 1 species